GACGGAGGAUGCAAGCGUUAUCCGGAAUUAUUGGGCGUAAAGCGUCCGCGGGUGGCUGUUCAAGUCUGCUGUCAAAGCGCAGAGCUUAACUCUGUACAGGCGGUGGAAACUGAAGAGCUAGAGUAUGGUAGGGGUAGAGGGAAUUCCCGGUGUAGCGGUGAAAUGCGUAGAUAUCGGGAAGAACACCAGUGGCGAAAGCGCUCUACUGGGCCAUAACUGACACUGAGGGACGAAAGCUAGGGGAGCGAAAGGG
rnacentral:rRNA from 1 species